UGGUGCCUCCGCUACUUAUAGUGGGGUUGCUGUAAUUUGACUACAUAUAAAUAUGAUCUCUAGGCAUAUGGAUCCUUAUAGUAGACGUUUGCUGCAGUAGGUUCACUGUAAGAGUAGGAUGCACAUCUAGAUGGGAUCUAUCGAUCUUAAUAGAUAAAAAAUAAUUUUAUAUUAUUUAUGAGAUUGAGUUUGAAAGAUCUUGAUCAGGAUAGUGUGAAUGA
rnacentral:lncRNA from 1 species